GAUGAACGCUAGCGGCAGGCCUAAUACAUGCAAGUCGAACGGGAUUUGGGUGCUUGCACCUAAUGGGAGUGGCGCACGGGUGCGUAACACGUAUGUAACCUACCUUAAUCAGGGGGAUAGCCUCUCGAAAGAGAGAUUAACACCGCAUAAAAUCACACUAUGGCAUCAUAGAAUGAUCAAAUAUUUAUAGGAUUAAGGUGGGCAUGCGGAACAUUAGCUAGUUGGUAAGGUAACGGCUUACCAAGGCUACGAUGUUUAGGGGAUCUGAGAGGAUGGCCCCCCACACUGGUACUGAGACACGGACCAGACUCCUACGGGAGGCAGCAGUAAGGAAUAUUGGUCAAUGGACGCAAGUCUGAACCAGCCAUGCCGCGUGCAGGAAGACGGCCCUACGGGUUGUAAACUGCUUUUGUACCGGAAUAAACCUCUUUACGUGUAAGGAGCUGAAUGUACGGUAAGAAUAAGGAUCGGCUAACUCCGUGCCAGCAGCCGCGGUAA
rnacentral:rRNA from 1 species